GCGGCAACAGCUCAAAUUUGAAAUCUGGCCCUCGGGUCCGAGUUGUAAUUUGUAGAGGAUGCUUUUGGUGCGGUGCCUUCCGAGUUCCCUGGAACGGGACGCCAUAGAGGGUGAGAGCCCCGUCUGGUUGGACACCAAGCCUCUGUAAAGCUCCUUCGACGAGUCGAGUAGUUUGGGAAUGCUGCUCUAAAUGGGAGGUAUAUGUCUUCUAAAGCUAAAUAUCGGCCAGAGACCGAUAGCGCACAAGUAGAGUGAUCGAAAGAUGAAAAGCACUUUGAAAAGAGGGUUAAAUAGUACGUGAAAUUGUUGAAAGGGAAGCGCUUGUGACCAGACUUGAGCCCGGUUAAUCAUCCAGCCUUCUGGCUGGUGCACUUGGCCGGCUCAGGCCAGCAUCAGUUCGGCGUGGGGGAUAAAGGUUUCGGGAAUGUGGCUCCUCCGGGAGUGUUAUAGCCCGUUGCGUAAUACCCUGUACUGGACUGAGGUUCGCGCAUCUGCAAGGAUGCUGGCGUAAUGGUCAUCAGCGACCCGUCUUGAAACACGGACCAAGGAGUCGUCUUCGUAUGCGAGUGUUCGGGUGUCAAACCCCUACGCGUAAUGAAAGUGAACGCAGGUGAGAGCUUCGGCGCAUCAUCGACCGAUCCUGAUGUUCUCGGACGGAUUUGAGUAAGAGCAUACGGGGCCGGACCCGAAAGAAGGUGAACUAUGCCUGUAUAGGGUGAAGCCAGAGGAAACUCUGGUGGAGGCUCGCAGCGGUUCUGACGUGCAAAUCGAUCGUCAAAUAUGGGCAU
rnacentral:rRNA from 1 species